rnacentral:rRNA from 1 species
CAGUAGCCGCGGUAAUACGAAGGGUGCAAGCGUUAAUCGGAAUUGCUGGGCGUAAAGCGUGCGUAGGCGGUUUGUUAAGUCUGUUGUGAAAUCCCCGGGCUCAACCUGGGAAUGGCAAUGGAUACUGGCAAGCUAGAGUGUGUCAGAGGAUGGUGGAAUUCCCGGUGUAGCGGUGAAAUGCGUAGAGAUCGAGAGGAACAUCAGUGGCGAAGGCGGCCAUCUGGGACAACACUGACGCUGAGGCACGAAAGCGUGGGGAGCAAACAGGAUUAGAUACCCCAGUAGUCCCUGUCUCUUAUAC